UACGAAGGGGGCUAGCGUUGCUCGGAAUCACUGGGCGUAAAGCGCACGUAGGCGGAUUGUUAAGUCAGGGGUGAAAUCCUGGAGCUCAACUCCAGAACUGCCUUUGAUACUGGCGAUCUCGAGUCCGGGAGAGGUGAGUGGAACUGCGAGUGUAGAGGUGAAAUUCGUAGAUAUUCGCAAGAACACCAGUGGCGAAGGCGGCUCACUGGCCCGGUACUGACGCUGAGGAGCGAUAGCAUGGGGAGCGAACAGG
rnacentral:rRNA from 1 species